UCCACCCGAAGGUGGUCCUUGAGAGAAGGUCUUAGAUGUUUAGAAGAGGUUAUGUUACAUUCUUUGGUAUCACUUAUUAUUUCCUUCAGGCAAACCACAUGUCAGAGGACUUCAAUCUGAAAAUGACAACCACAGUUUCCUAUUAGACAAGAAGUGACAGGUUACCGUAAUCCAGAUGUCCUUGAAGUUAGAAGCACUUAGGAAAACUUUUGCUUUGAGUGCAUUGUAUAGGACCACAUUAACAGGU
rnacentral:lncRNA from 1 species